rnacentral:rRNA from 1 species
AUUGAACGCUGGCGGCAGGCCUAACACAUGCAAGUCGAACGGUAACAGGAAGAAGCUUGCUUCUUUGCUGACGAGUGGCGGACGGGUGAGUAAUGUCUGGGAAACUGCCUGAUGGAGGGGGAUAACUACUGGAAACGGUAGCUAAUACCGCAUAACGUCGCAAGACCAAAGAGGGGGACCUUCGGGCCUCUUGCCAUCGGAUGUGCCCAGAUGGGAUUAGCUAGUAGGUGGGGUAACGGCUCACCUAGGCGCCGAUCCCUAGCUGGUCUGAGAGGAUGACCAGCCACACUGGAACUGAGACACGGUCCAGACUCCUACGGGAGGCAGCAGUGGGGAAUAUUGCACAAUGGGCGCAAGCCUGAUGCAGCCAUGCCGCGUGUAUGAAGAAGGCCUUCGGGUUGUAAAGUACUUUCAGCGGGGAGGAAGGGAGUAAAGUUAAUACCUUUGCUCAUUGACGUUACCCGCAGAAGAAGCACCGGCUAACUCCGUG